GGGCUCCCUGGUGAUUCAUGAUAACUCGUCGAANCGCACGGCCUUGCGCCGGCGAUGGUUCAUUCAAAUUUCUUCCCUAUCAACUUUCGAUGUCUGNGUAUUGGCCAAACAUGGUCGCAACGGGUGACGGAGGGUUAGGGCUCGACCCCGGAGAAGGAGCCUGAGAGACGGCUACUACAUCCAAGGAAGGCAGCAGGCGCGCAAACUACCCAAUCCCGACACGGGGAGGUGGUGACAAAAAAUACUGAUACAGGGCUCUUUCGGGUCUUGUAAUUGGAAUGAGAACAAUUUAAACCCCUUAGCGAGGAACGAUUGGAGGGCAAGUCUGGUGCCAGCAGCCGCGGUAAUUCCAGCUCCAAUAGCGUAUAUUAAAGUUGUUGUGGUUAAAAAGCUCGUAGUUGAACCUUGGGCCUGGCUGGCCGGUCCGCCUCACCGCGUGCACUGGUCCGGCCGGGCCUUUCCCUCUGCGGAACCCCAUGCCCUUCGCUGGGCGUGGCGGGGAGGCAGGACGUUUACUUUGAAAAAAUUAGAGUGCUCCAGGCAGGCCUAUGCUCGGAUACAUUAGCAUGGAAUAAUGAAAUAGGACGCGCGGUUCCGUUUCGUUGGUUAUUGGGACCGCCGUAAUGAUCAAUAGGGACAAUCGGGGGCAUCAGUAUUCGGCUGUCAGAGGUGAAAUUCUUGGAUUUACCGAAGACUAACCACUGCGAAAGCAUUUGCCAAGGGUGUUUUCAUUAAUCAGGAACGAAAGUUAGGGGAUCGAAGACGAUCAGAUACCGUCGUAGUCUUAACCAUAAACUAUGCCGACUAGGGAUCGGACGAUGUUGUCUCUUGACGCGUCUCGGCACC
rnacentral:rRNA from 1 species